rnacentral:rRNA from 1 species
AUGGCUCAGAUUGAACGCUGGCGGCAGGCCUAACACAUGCAAGUCGAGCGGUAACACAGGAGAGCUUGCUCUCUGGGUGACGAGCGGCGGACGGGUGAGUAAUGUCUGGGAAACUGCCCGAUGGAGGGGGAUAACUACUGGAAACGGUAGCUAAUACCGCAUAACGUCUUCGGACCAAAGAGGGGGACCUUCGGGCCUCUUGCCAUCGGAUGUGCCCAGAUGGGAUUAGCUAGUAGGUGGGGUAAUGGCUCACCUAGGCGACGAUCCCUAGCUGGUCUGAGAGGAUGACCAGCCACACUGGAACUGAGACACGGUCCAGACUCCUACGGGAGGCAGCAGUGGGGAAUAUUGCACAAUGGGCGCAAGCCUGAUGCAGCCAUGCCGCGUGUAUGAAGAAGGCCUUCGGGUUGUAAAGUACUUUCAGCGAGGAGGAAGGCAUUAAGGUUAAUAACCUCAGUGAUUGACGUUACUCGCAGAAGAAGCACCGGCUAACUCCGUGCCAGCAGCCGCGGUAAUACGGAGGGUGCAAGCGUUAAUCGGAAUUACUGGGCGUAAAGCGCACGCAGGCGGUCUGUCAAGUCGGAUGUGAAAUCCCCGGGCUCAACCUGGGAACUGCAUUCGAAACUGGCAGGCUAGAGUCUUGUAGAGGGGGGUAGAAUUCCAGGUGUAGCGGUGAAAUGCGUAGAGAUCUGGAGGAAUACCGGUGGCGAAGGCGGCCCCCUGGACAAAGACUGACGC